AAAGAAUUAAUCAAUGAUCUGACUUGGUCCAUAUUCAUGAGCCAAUAAAACCCCACGGUGAACCAAGACUCGAUCCAGAACGGUUCAGACCUCAGCAGAACCGAGACCAUAAACAAUGUGAUCCAAAAUUCUCCACUUUGGGAUAUUUCCUUAUUUGGAUCAUUGCAGACGUAUCUUUUGCGUCUGUGAGACUUUUUCUAUGAUCUAGAGGCUCCAAAGAGUGACAAAAUGUAUCAGCAAGCAGGAGAUCAAGCGGAUCUCUUCACACCUCAACUUUCCUUAUCUAGAGCCAAUUACGUGAAAUCUGGUCAAACAUACCAUCAAAAGACCUCGUAGACGUCACUAAUUUAUGUCCAAGUUGUCCAGAUACAAAGAACCUUCCAAUUUUUCUCAAUUGAUCCAAAAUCGAGCAUUAAAAGCCAUAUCAAUCAGACAUUUGUUUGAUUUUUCAUUUAGCUUGAUGAUUUAUUUGUAUUUAUGGUGACUUAUAUUCUAUUUUCAUGUCUUAGAACAACCAUGUAUAUAUAAAGCUUUUACCUCUCAUUGUAUUAUUCACCCUUGAAUUUGAAAAUAUUAAGAAAACCAAGAAUUUUCUUCGCUUUGGAACUUGAACUUUGUUUGCUUGUCUUUUCUAUUUUGUGAGACUCCUUUAAAAAGAAAAUGG
rnacentral:lncRNA from 1 species